rnacentral:lncRNA from 1 species
UCGGUGCGUUAUUUACAAGCCAGUUGGGCUGCAGCAGAGCCGGAGGAUUGUGAGGGGCUCCCGGGCUUCGGAUGCGGGCGCGCGGCCACGGGCAGGAGGUCAGGCUGGACCCCAGGUUCUGGGGGACGACCCGCAGCAAUCCCGGCCCCUGCGCUGCGCCGCCCCCGCCCGCCGCACCCCGGGGCGCGCGCCGGCCACGGUCACCGGCGGCUGGAGCGCUGCCCUCGCCUCCCCCAUUGUUCCCACUGCCUUUUUCGCCUUUUGUUAUUUAUUUGCACCAGCAUUGUGUUGUCUCCGAAGCCGCCUCAUGACCAGCCGAGGGAUUUCACUUCGUCCUUGAGAGAGAGAGAGAGACAGAGAGCAAGAGAGAGCGAGAGAGGGAGCCAGAGGUUGGGGUGGGGGGGUGGAAGAGAGAGAGAGAGAGAAAGAGAGAGGGACAGGCGCGCACACACACACACACGCGCGCGCACACCCCACACAAACACACCCCGACACAGACACACACACACACAGAGUGCAAAAGGCGAGCCGCCCCAUCCCGUCUCCAGGGUCCUCCGGGGGCCCCCGCCCGCCGCUGCGCAUCCCGCGUCAGAGGAGCGAUUAACCAGACCCGACACUCUGACCUGUUGUGGUAUCAAGAUCUACUUCUGGAGGAUCCUAAGAAGUCUUGGACAAGCCUCCCACAUGUGGCAGGUGCUGUACUGGCUGCUGUUGACCCAAAGAUGAUGACAAGGAGGAUGCCCCUGCCCACAAGAAGUUAGCAAGCCGAUAAGGUGUGACAAGAAGCCAAGAGUAGCAAGGACGGGAAGCAGAGAGAGUGACCUGCAGCUCACCAGGUCAGGACUGGCAUUGCCAUUGUGGAUCAUUAUUUUUGUCAUUUGCACAGCUCUCCAAUCUCUUGAGGCUUGCUUCUGUGAGUUCUAAGCUAGAGGUAGUUCUUGCAGGUUUUCUCAUCACGGCCAGCUCUCUUGCAUCCAAAGCCCAGCAUUGGGUUACCUGAUUUCUAGGAUUUGAAUAUGAAAAAUAAUUUAAAGAAACUUUUGUGAGUGUAAGGAAUUUUGAAACCUAGUAAGAUGCAUAGAAAAUCUGGUUAUGAUUGUUCUUUUUGUUAAAAUAUCUUAAAGCGAAGACUUUUUGAUGAGUUUCCCAGAUCCCAACCCUUAAAACACAUGGAAUGUUAAAUUAUGUAACUGUAGUGGCAGAAGUCCUGUGUUUGGGACAUCUGCCUUGUCUCCUCUGCUGCAUGCUCUGACCUCAGGUCUACCCAGAAGGCUUUGGAUGCUCUUCAGAGUUGACCUGGAUGCUAGCAGUGGUUUUUAACUAGUUGAUGCUGAACAUCAAAUGAAGGCUAAUUAAAGAAUUUCUGCACAAAUAAAAUGACGUGGAUAGUCA